UACGUAGGGUGCAAGCGUUGUCCGGAAUUAUUGGGCGUAAAGAGCUCGUAGGCGGUCUGUCGCGUCGGCUGUGAAAACCGGGGCUUACCCAGCCGGCCUGCAGUCGAUACGGGCAGACUAGAGGUAGGUAGGGGAGAAUGGAAUUCCCGGUGUAGCGGUGAAAUGCGCAGAUAUCGGGAGGAACACCGGUGGCGAAGGCGGUUCUCUGGGCCUUACCUGACGCUGAGGAGCGAAAGCGUGGGGAGCGAACAGG
rnacentral:rRNA from 1 species